rnacentral:snRNA from 1 species
GUGCUCAUUUUAGCCGCACGUAUACUAAAAACUGGAAUGAUACAGAGAGGAUUAGCAUGGCCCCUAUGUAAAGAUGACAUGCAAAUUUGUGAAGUAUUCCAUAUGAAA